CGUUACACUACGUUACAAAAUAUAGGCGUUUUAUCUCAAGCCGGUACGGCCUCAAGCAGCCCCAAAGCUGUUCUGUUUGACCCGGAUCGGAGAGGCGGUCGCGCGCCACAUGCGUGAGACUCUCGUCAGUUUACACUUUGCCUCAGAGGCACAGGUGCACGUCUUUGCGGGCGAAGGCCUUACGGCGAGCACCGCGUUGGAACGGGAGGCGUAGGCGAGAGCUUGUGCGUAAGGAGCGACCCGACCCAGCAGGGGGCAGCAGUGGGAUGCCGGGUGCAAGUGGGAGGAGCUGAUGAAUGGAUGCAAAUGUCUACAAAGGAGUGGGACCUCAUCAGAAAGAUGAGGCGGAAAGGAAGGAUGAAUUAGAAAAAAUUCACUCUGUGUUCAUUAGGAUGUGUUCCCCUCACUCUCUCUUGUUCUGUCUCGACACCCGCCCUCCUGUGGAAUCUAACAUCCUCCAAUCGGGUUUUGUGUUGUUAAGGGGGACACCUUUUCUGCACCAAUAAGAACUAUAUAUGUGGACGCUGGUAUCAUAAUAUUCUGACAUGGGUACAAGUGAAAUCACCGCAGCCCAAGAGGCUAGUUUAGAGAUGCCUGACAGAGAUGUGGGGGACCCCUUGACAUGGCCUGGCCUCCCACAAACACUGCAGAGGCAGAGAAGCCAUGCAAGGGCCUGGAAGGAAGCCAACACUGUGGCAGUGCAGUAGUUAAAUUAUUAACAGAGAGCGAGAGAGAGAGAGAGGUGGAAAGAGUAAGAGAGACACAAAGAGAAGGAGAUAAUAGGAGAGAUGGGAGCAGAGAUUGGGGAACAGAAAUAGAAAAUAAAAAAUAGAGAGUCUGUUGGCACAGACUGUCUCAUGUCAUGCCAACAGAAUCAUCUUGAGAAUUGAAAAAGAGGCAAAAAAUGAGAAAGGGAGAGAAAGAGGGAGCGGAACAGAGUGAGAGAUUCUUUGCUGGUUUUGGUUCGGCUCCAAAGAGUUAAUGUGGCGAAGGCUGAUGGAUAAGGGUGUCAGCAACGAGACCCACUUCCCAGCAGGGUUCCAGAGGUUACUU